CACACAUGCCUCCGGGGCUCCUCCAGAGCUGAGAGGCCGGCCCCGCGGCUCCUGCUCUCUGCCCCAUAGCAAGCUGCUACACAAGAGAGACAAUGACAAGGUGGACGCCCAGGAGGAGAACUUUCUGCCCAAGUACCAGCGUGUGAAGGACCUGUGUCAGCGUGCUGAGUACCAGACGGCGUGUGAGCAGCUGGGACAGAAGUGGCAGUGUGUGGAGGACGCCACGGGGAAGCUGAAGCUGCAUAAGUGCAAGGGCCCCAUGCGGCUGGGCGGCAGCAGAGCCCUCUCCAACCUCGUGCCCAAGUACUACGGGCAGGGCAGCGAGGCCUGCACCUGUGACAGCGGGGACUACAAGCUCAGCCUGGCCGGACGCCGGAAAAAACUCUUCAAGAAGAGUA
rnacentral:lncRNA from 1 species